rnacentral:rRNA from 1 species
GACGAACGCUGGCGGCGUGCUUAACACAUGCAAGUCGAGCGGUAAGGCCCUUUCGGGGGUACGACGAGCGGCGAACGGGUAGGAGUAACACGUGGGUGGACCUCGCCCUCCAGCUCUGGGAGUAAGACCCGGGAAACCGUAGGGUCGUAAUAACUGGAUAUGACUCCACGGUGCAUGCCGUGGGGUGGAAAGCCUUGUGCGGCUGAGGA